AAAUAGGCAAACUCUAGGUUUCCGUGUCUAACAUUUGACUGUCCGUCUUAUAUGAAUUUUUUUAUAAUUAGUAUUUUUAUUGUUGUUAUAUGAUAAAACAUGAUUAAUACUUUAUAUAUGACUUGUUUUUUUAAUUAUUUUUAUUUUUUUUAAAUAAGAUAGAUGGUUAAAUGUUGGACACGGAAACUAAG
rnacentral:pre_miRNA from 1 species